rnacentral:rRNA from 1 species
CACGUAGGGGCGAGCGUUGUCCGGAAUUACUGGGCGUAAAGGGCGCGCAGGCUGUUAUGCGAGUCUGCUGUGAAAUGUACCGGCUCAACCGGUGCCUUGCGGCGGAUACUGCAUAGCUGGAGUACUGGAGAGGGAAGUGGAAUUCCCGGUGUAGCGGUGGAAUGCGCAGAUAUCAGGAGGAACACCGAUGGCGAAGGCAGGUCUCUGGGCAGUAACUGACGCUGAGGAGCGAAAGCAUGGGUAGCGAACA